rnacentral:rRNA from 1 species
AGGACGAACGCUGGCGGCGUGCCUAACACAUGCAAGUCGAACGCGCUUUCGGGCUUCGGUGCGAGAGCGAGUGGCGGACGGGUGAGUAACACAUGGGUACCUGCCUUUCAGUGAGGGAUACCGGCGAGAAAUCGCCGACAAUACCGCAUGGGCUUGUGGGAACACAAGCAAAGUGGCGCAAGCCACGCUGGAAGAUGGGCCUGUGGCCGAUUAGCUAGUUGGGGGGGUAACGGCCUCCCAAGGCGACGAUCGGUAGCUGGUCUGAGAGGACGAUCAGCCACACUGGGAUUGAGAACGGCCCAGACUCCUACGGGGGGCAGCAGUGAGGAAUUUUCCGCAAUGGGCGCAAGCCUGACGGAGCAACGCCGCGUGCAGGACGACGGCCUUCGGGUUGUAAACUGCUUUUCUGGGGGACGAGCAAGGACGGUACCCCAGGAAUCAGCCCCGGCUAACUACGUGCCAGCAGCCGC